AUUUCUGUAGUUGAAACACAACAUGAGCUUUUCACGCUCUAAUCCUGAGUUAGACCCUCAGCAGAGAU
rnacentral:tRNA from 1 species